UACAGAGGGUGCGAGCGUUAAUCGGAUUUACUGGGCGUAACGCGUGCGUAGGCGGCUUUUUAAGUCUGAUGUGAACUCCCCGAGCUUAACUUGGGAAUUGCAUUCGAUACUGGGUAGCUAGAGUAUGGGAGAGGAUGGUAGAAUUUCAGGUGUAGCGGUGAAAUGCGUAGAGAUCUGGAGGAAUACCGAUGGCGAAGGCAGCCAUCUGGACUAAGACUGACGCUGAGGUACGAAAGCGUGGGGAGCAAACAGG
rnacentral:misc_RNA from 1 species